AUGUUCCCUCCCUUCCUCUCCUGUUCCCUCCCCUCCUCUCCUGUUCCCUCCCCUCCUCUCCUGUUCCCUCCCCUCCUGUUCCCUCCUCUCCUGUUCCCUCCCCUCCUGUUCCCUCCCCUCCUCUAUUGUUCCCUCCUCCCUUCUAUUGUUCCCUCCUCUCCUCUCUUGUUCCCUCCUCUCCUCUCUUGUUCCCUCCUCUCCUGUUCCCUCCUCUCCUCUCUUGUUCCCUCCUCUCCUGUUCCCUCCUCUCCUCUCUUGUUCCCUCCUCUCCUGUUCCCUCCUCUCCUCUCCUGUUCCCUCCUCUCCUCUCCUCUCUUGUUCCCUCCUCCUGUUCCCUCCUACUGUUCCCUCCUCCUGUUCCCUCCUCUCCUCUCUUGUUCCCUCCUCUCCUGUUCCCUCCUCUCCUCUCCUCUCUUGUUCCCUCCUCUUGUUCCCUCCCCUCCUCUCCUGUUCCCUCCCCUCCUCUCCUGUUCCCUCCCCUCCUGUUCCCUCCCCUCCUCUCUUGUUCCCUCCCCUCCUCUCUUGUUCCCUACUCUCCUCUCUUGUUCCCUCCUCAUGUUCCCUCCCCUCCUCUCCUGUUCCCUCCCCUCCUGUUCCCUCUCCUCCUCUCCUGUUCCCUCUCCUCCUCUCUUGUUCCCUCCCCUCCUCUCUUGUUCCCUACUCUCCUCUCUUGUUCCCUCCCCUCCUCUCUUGUUCCCUCCCCUCCUCUCUUGUUCCCUCCCCUCCUCUCUUGUUCCCUCCCCUCCUCUCUUGUUCCCUCCCCUCCUCUCUUGUUCCCUCCUCUCCUCUCUUGUUCCCUCCUCUCCUGUUCCCUCCUCUCCUCUCUUGUUCCCUCUUGUUCCCUCCUCUUGGUCCCUCCUGUUUGUUCCCUCCUCCUGUUUGUUCUCUCCUUCUGUUUGUUCUCUCCUCCUGUUUGUUUCCUCUUGUUCCCUCCUCUCCUCUCUUGUUCCCUCCUCUCCUCUCUUGUUCCCACCUCUCCUCCCCUCCUCUCCUCUCGUUCCCUCCUCUCCUCUUGUUCCCUCCUCUCCUCUCCCAUUCCCUCCUCUCCUCUCCCAUUCCCUCCUCUCCUCUUGUUCCCUCCUCUCCUCUCCCAUUCCCUCCUCUCCUCCUGUUCCCUUCCAUCCUCUCUAG
rnacentral:lncRNA from 1 species